AGUGAACGCUGGCGGUAGGCCUAACACAUGCAAGUCGAACGGCAGCACAGUAAGAGCUUGCUCUUACGGGUGGCGAGUGGCGGACGGGUGAGGAAUACAUCGGAAUCUACUUUUUCGUGGGUGAUAACGUAGGGAAACUUACGCUAAUACCGCAUACGACCUACGGGUGAAAGCAGGGGAUCUUCGGACUUUGCGCGAUUGAAUGAGCCGAUGUCGGAUUAGCUUGUUGGCGGGGUAAAGGCCCACCAAGGCAACGAUCCGUAGCUGGUCUGAGAGGAUGAACGGCCACACGGGACAGGAGACACGGUCGUGGCACUGACGGAGGGAGGUGGAGGGGAAUGUUAGCGAUUGGCGGAAACCGUGAUCCACCCAUACCGCGUGGGUGAAGAAGUCCUUCGAGUUGUAAAGUCCUUUUGUUGGGAAGAAAAAGCAGCAAGUUAAUUCCCCGCUGUUCUGACGGUACCCAAAGGAUACGCACCGGCUAACUUCGU
rnacentral:rRNA from 1 species